rnacentral:rRNA from 1 species
AGCGAAACUGCCACCGUAAGGUGAGAGGAAGGUGGGGAUGACGUCAAAUCAGCACGGCCCUUAUGUCCAGGGCUACACACGUGUUACAAUGGCCGGCACAGAGGGCAGCUACCUGGUGACAGGAUGCUAAUCUCGAAAACCGGUCUCAGUUCGGAUCGAAGUCUGCAACUCGACUUCGUGAAGCUGGAUUCGCUAGUAAUCGCGCAUCAGCCAUGGCCGCGGUCGAAUACGUUCCCGGGCCUU